UUCAGAAACUGCCAUCUUACUACACAGCACAUGAAUCUUGUUCCAAACAAAAGAAAGAAGAAACAUGGACGACAGAGAUGAUUGUAACUGAAAAGUAUGAAAAUGACGGCGAGCCAGUGGUGGACAACCUGGGCUAGUCCUAAACAAAAGUGAAAUCUCUACCUACCAAAUGUAAUAAAGGCUACAGCUUUUGCAGUGAACUUAUUCCAGACUAGCAUGCAUGAUGAGGGAGGGUGCUCCAAAGUCCAUACCCAAUCUCAGGCUCACAGUGAACAAUGGCUGGAAACCUCAGUACAAAAAUCAAUGCACUGGUUUGUCAUUUGCUGAACCAAAUUUGGCGAGACACAAAAGGAGAUACUCCAUGAAAGCUAACUAGUUGGAAGAGAUCAGUGUUUCUAUGGAUAAAGGAAGAGGGGGUCAAAGGAAGAGGAGUGUACCAUCCCACCAAACAGUACUCCAUGAAAGGAAGUAAAGCAGCUCAUAAUGAGGAGGGGGUAGUACCAU
rnacentral:lncRNA from 1 species